ACGGCUCAGUAACACGUGGCUAACCUGCCCUUGGGACAAGGACAACCCCGGGAAACUGGGGCUAAUCCUUGAUAGGUGAGGACUCCUGGAAUGGAUUCUCGCUCAAAAGGCGUUUAUACCAUGCUUUUAGGCGUCGCCCAAGGAGGGGGCCGCGGCCGAUCAGGUUGUUGGUGAGGUAAUGGCUCACCAAGCCUUUAACCGGUACGGGCCGUGAGAGCGGUAGCCCGGAGAUGGGCACUGAGACAAGGGCCCAGGCCCUACGGGGCGCAGCAGUCGCGAAAACUCCGCAAUACACGAAAGUGUGACGGGGCCAUCCCGAGUGCCAUCCGCUGAGGAUAGCUUUUCCCUAGUGUACAAAGCUGGGGGAAUAAGGAGAGGGCAAGUCUGGUGUCAGCCGCCGCGGUAAUACCAGCUCUCCGAGUGGUGGGGAUGUUUAUUGGGCCUAAAGCAUUCGUAGCCUGCUGGGUAAGUCCUCUGUUAAAUCCACCGAUUCAAUCGUUGGACUGCGGGGGAUACUGUCCAGCUAGGGGGCGGGAGAGGCCGACGGUAUUCUCGGGGUAGGGGUGAAAUCCUAUAAUCCCGGGAGGACCACCAGUGGCGAAGGCUGUCGGCUAGAACGCGCCCGACGGUGAGGGAUGAAAGCUGGGGGAGCGAACCGGAUUAGAUACCCGGGUAGUCCCAGCUGUAAACGAUGCAGGCUAGGUGUUGGUGCGGCUACGUGCCGCUCCAGUGCCGCAAGGAAGCUGUUAAGCCUGCCGCCUGGGAAGUACGGCCGCAAGGCUGAAACUUAAAGGAAUUGGCGGGGGAGCACCACAAGGGGUGAAGCUUGCGGUUUAAUUGGAUUCAACGCCGGG
rnacentral:rRNA from 1 species